AUGAACGCUGACAGAAUGCUUAACACAUGCAAGUCAACUUGAAUUUGGGUUUUUAACUUAGGUUUGGGUGGCGGACGGGUGAGUAACGCGUAAAGAACUUGCCUCACAGCUAGGGACAACAUUUGGAAACGAAUGCUAAUACCUAAUAUUAUGAUAAUAGGGCAUCCUAUAAUUAUGAAAGCUAUAAGCGCUGUGAGAGAGCUUUGCGUCCCAUUAGCUAGUUGGAGAGGUAACGGCUCACCAGGGCGAUGAUGGGUAGCCGGCCUGAGAGGGUGAUCGGCCACAAGGGGACUGAGACACGGCCCUUACUCCUACGGGAGGCAGCAGUGGGGAAUAUUGGACAAUGGACCGAGAGUCUGAUCCAGCAAUUCUGUGUGCACGAUGAAGUUUUUCGGAAUGUAAAGUGCUUUCAGUUGGGAAGAAACAAAUGACGGUACCAACAGAAGAAGUGACGGCUAAAUACGUG
rnacentral:rRNA from 1 species